UUCACCAUGGCUAUAGUGAUAUAUAACUGAGUUUCUAGCUUUUAUUGUUCUUCUCGUAACAGUGAUCAUGCAUUCUUAACGCAUCUAAGUUUAUUGAGAUAUCUAAUCAAUCAAUAAAGCAUAAAACUUGAAUGUAAGCAUCAGUACAUUCAUAUAGAACGUGAACUUCUCAAUGUUUUAAAAUCAUUACCACCUUCUUUCUUGCGCUGAGCAUGACGAUGUGAUGAA
rnacentral:lncRNA from 1 species